rnacentral:rRNA from 1 species
UACGUAGGGGGCAAGCGUUGUCCGGAAUCAUUGGGCGUAAAGAGCGCGUAGGCGGUCCGGUAAGUCCGCUCUGAAAGUCCGGGGCUCAACCCCGGGAGGCGGGCGGAUACUGUCGGGCUAGAGUCCGGAAGAGGCGAGUGGAAUUCCUGGUGUAGCGGUGAAAUGCGCAGAUAUCAGGAGGAACACCAAUGGCGAAGGCAGCUCGCUGGGACGGUGCUGACGCUGAGGCGCGAAAGCGUGGGGAGCAAACAGG